AUUGAACGCUGGCGGCAUGCCUUACACAUGCAAGUCGAACGGCAGCGGGGGAGAAGCUUGCUUUUCCUGCCGGCGAGUGGCGAACGGGUGAGUAAUACAUCGGAACGUGCCCUGUAGUGGGGGAUAACUAGUCGAAAGAUUAGCUAAUACCGCAUACGACCUGAGGGUGAAAGUGGGGGACCGCAAGGCCUCAUGCUAUAGGAGCGGCCGAUGUCUGAUUAGCUAGUUGGUGGGGUAAAGGCCUACCAAGGCGACGAUCAGUAGCUGGUCUGAGAGGACGAUCAGCCACACUGGGACUGAGACACGGCCCAGACUCCUACGGGAGGCAGCAGCGGGGAAUUUUGGACAAUGGGCGAAAGCCUGAUCCAGCAAUGCCGCGUGUGUGAAGAAGGCCUUCGGGUUGUAAAGCACUUUUGUCCGGAAAGAAAUGGCUCUGGUUAAUACCUGGGGUCGAUGACGGUACCGGAAGAAUAAGGACCGGCUAACUACGUGCCAGCCGCCGCUGUAA
rnacentral:rRNA from 1 species